GGGAAACCGAGUCUUAAUUGGGCGUUAAGUUGCAGGGUAUAGACCCGAAACCCGGUGAUCUAGCCAUGGGCAGGUUGAAGGUUGGGUAACACUAACUGGAGGACCGAACCGACUAAUGUUGAAAAAUUAGCGGAUGACCUGUGGCUGGGGGUGAAAGGCCAAUCAAACCGGGAGAUAGCUGGUUCUCCCCGAAAGCUAUUUAGGUAGCGCCUCGUGAAUUCAUCUCCGGGGGUAGAGCACUGUUUCGGCUAGGGGGCCAUCCCGGCUUACCAACCCGAUGCAAACUGCGAAUACCGGAGAAUGUUAUCACGGGAGACACACGGCGGGUGCUAACGUCCGUCGUGAAGAGGGAAACAACCCAGACCGCCAGCUAAGGUCCCAAAGUCAUGGUUAAGUGGGAAACGAUGUGGGAAGGCCCAGACAGCCAGGAUGUUGGCUUAGAAGCAGCCAUCAUUUAAAGAAAGCGUAAUAGCUCACUGGUCGAGUCGGCCUGCGCGGAAGAUGUAACGGGGCUAAACCAUGCACCGAAGCUGCGGCAGCGACGCUUAUGCGU
rnacentral:rRNA from 1 species